rnacentral:rRNA from 1 species
UGAGUACGAGAUGCUACGGCAUGGAGCAGUCUAUGUCACACUUCCAAGAAAAGCUUGCACUGUCAUAAACAAAGAAUGCCUGUACCAUAACCGACACAGGUGGGUAGGUAGAGUAUACUAAGGGGCGCGAGAUAACUCUCUCUAAGGAACUCGGCAAAAUGACUCCGUAACUUCGGGAGAAGGAGUGCCUUAUUUUUAAGGUUGCAAUAACAAGAUCCAAGCAACUGUUUAUCAAAAACACAGGUCUCCGCUAAGUCGUAAGACGAUGUAUGGGGGCUGACGCCUGCCCAGUGCCAGAAGGUUAAAGAAGUUGGUUAGCAUUUGCGAAGCUGAUAACUGAAGCCCUGGUGAACGGCGGCCGUAACAAUAACGGUCCUAAGGUAGCGAAAUUCCUUGUCGGGUAAGUUCCGACCCGCACGAAAGGCGUAAUGAUUUGGAUACUGUCUCGGAGAGGGACUCGGUGAAAUAGACUUGUCUGUGAAGAUGCGGACUACCUGCACCUGGACAGAAAGACCCUAUGGAGCUUUACUGUAACUUGAAAUUGAAAUUGGACUUUAGUUGCGCAGGAUAGGUGGGAGGCGUUGAGAAUAGUCUUGCGGGAGUAUUGGAGCCAUCAGUGAGAUACCACUCUUCUAAUGUUAGAUUUCUAACUUUGGAUCAUUAUCUGGUCAAAGAACAGUUUCAGGCGGGCAGUUUGACUGGGGCGGUCGCCUCCUAAAGGGUAACGGAGGCGUACAAAGGUUUCCUCUGAACAAGUAGAAAUCGUAUCUAGAGUGUAAAGGCAUAAGGAAGCUUGACUGUGAGACCUACAAGUCGAGCAGGGACGAAAGUCGGUCUUAGUGAUCUGACGGUGCUGAGUGGAAAGGCCGUCACUCAACGGAUAAAAGUUACUCUAGGAUAACAGGCUGAUCUCCCCCAAGAGUUCACAUCGACGGGGAGGUUUGGCACCUCGAUGUCGGCUCAUCGCAUCCUGGGGCGGUAGUACGUCCCAAGGGUUGGGCUGUUCGCCCAUGAAAGCGGUACGCGAGCUGGGUUCAGAACGUCGUGAGACAGUUCGGUCCAUAUCCGGUGUAGGCGUUAGAAUAUUGAGAGGAGCCUUCUCUAGUACGAGAGGACCGAGAAGGACGUACCUCUAGUGUUCCAGUUAUCGUGCCAACGGUAAACGCUGGGUAGCUAUGUAUGGAGUGGAUAACCGCUGAAAGCAUCUAAGUGGGAAGCCCACCUCAAGAUAAGUAUUCCC